UGAAGAGUUUGAUCAUGGCUCAGAUUGAACGCUGGCGGCAGGCCUAACACAUGCAAGUCGAACGGUAACAGGAAGCAGCUUGCUGCUUCGCUGACGAGUGGCGGACGGGUGAGUAAUGUCUGGGAAACUGCCUGAUGGAGGGGGAUAACUACUGGAAACGGUGGCUAAUACCGCAUAACGUCGCAAGACCAAAGAGGGGGACCUUCGGGCCUCUUGCCAUCAGAUGUGCCCAGAUGGGAUUAGCUAGUUGGUGAGGUAACGGCUCACCAAGGCGACGAUCCCUAGCUGGUCUGAGAGGAUGACCAGCCACACUGGAACUGAGACACGGUCCAGACUCCUACGGGAGGCAGCAGUGGGGAAUAUUGCACAAUGGGCGCAAGCCUGAUGCAGCCAUGCCGCGUGUAUGAAGAAGGCCUUCGGGUUGUAAAGUACUUUCAGCGGGGAGGAAGGUGUUGUGGUUAAUAACCGCAGCAAUUGACGUUACCCGCAGAAGAAGCACCGGCUAACUCCGUGCCAGCAGCCGCGGUAAUACGGAGGGUGCAAGCGUUAAUCGGAAUUACUGGGCGUAAAGCGCACGCAGGCGGUCUGUCAAGUCGGAUGUGAAAUCCCCGGGCUCAACCUGGGAACUGCAUUCGAAACUGGCAGGCUUGAGUCUUGUAGAGGGGGGUAGAAUUCCAGGUGUAGCGGUGAAAUGCGUAGAGAUCUGGAGGAAUACCGGUGGCGAAGGCGGCCCCCUGGACAAAGACUGACGCUCAGGUGCGAAAGCGUGGGGAGCAAACAGGAUUAGAUACCCUGGUAGUCCACGCCGUAAACGAUGUCUACUUGGAGGUUGUGCCCUUGAGGCGUGGCUUCCGGAGCUAACGCGUUAAGUAGACCGCCUGGGGAGUACGGCCGCAAGGUUAAAACUCAAAUGAAUUGACGGGGGCCCGCACAAGCGGUGGAGCAUGUGGUUUAAUUCGAUGCAACGCGAAGAACCUUACCUGGUCUUGACAUCCACAGAACUUUCCAGAGAUGGAUUGGUGCCUUCGGGAACUGUGAGACAGGUGCUGCAUGGCUGUCGUCAGCUCGUGUUGUGAAAUGUUGGGUUAAGUCCCGCAACGAGCGCAACCCUUAUCCUUUGUUGCCAGCGAUUAGGUCGGGAACUCAAAGGAGACUGCCAGUGAUAAACUGGAGGAAGGUGGGGAUGACGUCAAGUCAUCAUGGCCCUUACGACCAGGGCUACACACGUGCUACAAUGGCGCAUACAAAGAGAAGCGACCUCGCGAGAGCAAGCGGACCUCAUAAAGUGCGUCGUAGUCCGGAUUGGAGUCUGCAACUCGACUCCAUGAAGUCGGAAUCGCUAGUAAUCGUGGAUCAGAAUGCCACGGUGAAUACGUUCCCGGGCCUUGUACACACCGCCCGUCACACCAUGGGAGUGGGUUGCAAAAGAAGUAGGUAGCUUAACCUUCGGGAGGGCGCUUACCACUUUGUGAUUCAUGACUGGGGUGAAGUCGUAACAAGGUAACCGUAGGGGAACCUGCGGUUGGAUCACCUCCUUACCUUAAAGAA
rnacentral:rRNA from 1 species